AGUGAACGCUGGCGGUAGGCCUAACACAUGCAAGUCGAACGGCAGCACAGUAAGAGCUUGCUCUUACGGGUGGCGAGUGGCGGACGGGUGAGGAAUACGUCGGAAUCUACUUUUUCGGGGGGGAUAACGUAGGGAAACUUACGCUAAUACCGCAUACGACCUACGGGUGAAAGCAGGGGAUAUUCGGACCUUGCGCGAUUGAAUGAGCCGAUGUCGGAUUAGCUAGUUGGCGGGGUAAAGGCCCACCAAGGCGACGAUCCGUAGCUGGUCUGAGAGGAUGAUCAGCCACACUGGAACUGAGACACGGUCCAGACUCCUACGGGAGGCAGCAGUGGGGAAUAUUGGACAAUGGGCGCAAGCCUGAUCCAGCCAUACCGCGUGGGUGAAGAAGGCCUUCGGGUUGUAAAGCCCUUUUGUUGGGAAAGAAAAGCAGCAGGUUAAUACCCCGCUGUUCUGACGGUACCCAAAGAAUAAGCACCGGCUAACUUCGUG
rnacentral:rRNA from 1 species